GUGCGCGCCUGCCGGCAGUCCCGAGGGCCAGGGCCCGGCGAGCUCGCCCUUCGGCCUCCCGGCACCGGGACGCUGGCCCGGGGGCUGCCGAGCGGGUGGGCGGCUCUACGCAGAGGCGAAGCUCCACGGCUUGCGUCUGUCUUCAUCCAGCGAACAAGGUCCAGCUCCUAACCCGGAUGGGACUUGGCCCCCGGGCAUUGCAAAGAUGGUGCCCGGAACUUCGUUUCAGGUCAGCUCUCCGCACGAGCCUUCUUAGUUCCUCCUCUCUGGCUCCCUCUUGCCUUCCCAGGGACCAAGCCUUCAGGGCUGUGUAGCCUUUAAUACUUUAUGAAGACUUUCCAACAGGCUUCCUUCACCCUGAUGCAAACCCCAAUUAUGACUCCAAAGGAUACUAAUAAUACCAGCAGCAAUAAUAGUAGCAAAUACAGACUGUGCAUACAUAUAUAUAUAUAUAUGCCAGACACCCCUCUAAACACUUCACAAGUACUCAUUUUAUCCUUAAAACAACCCUCUGAGGUAGGUGAUAUUAUUAUUCCCACUUUCCAGAUACAGAAACCGAGGUACAGAGAAGGGAAGAAACAUGCCCAGGUUCACAGAGCUGGUAAUGAUGAAGCCAGGAUUCAAAUCCAGCCAGUCUGACGCCAUGCGUCCGUCAGACUUACCCACUGGGCUACUACGGCCAACCCUGAUUGAAGUAACUUUUUAUGACCUCCCAACCUCCCCAGUGCAUAGCUUCUCGAGAAUAUUCCCAAGGUUCAGGGAAAGUGAGAGCAAGGUCGAGGCGUGAGUAGCCAAGGACCACAGAUGACUGGACAGGGCACCAGCUUCACUGGCCGUGGCAUUUGCCACACCAUGAACUCCUUCCAGAGAAGCAGGACUUCCCACAUGUGUGUGCCUCUCUCCUGAGAAAGAGAGGCUUCUGUGAUUCGGGAUCUGUGGUGACUCAAGAGGCUAAUACUGAAUGGCCAGUUGCAUCUCUCAAACAAGCGUUUCCAACUGAAAUCUCAAGAAUAAAUUCACCUCGCAAUGUGAAGUUCCAUGAAGGCUGUCCCAAGCCCCCUGUAGAGAGGAGACAGCACAGUAUGAAUUUCCAGUCCUAUUCUCCAGGGAUGGAAUCGGUCAACAGUGUGCUCGGCAAGAUUUAUAGAGUCAGACACGAAGGUGAAGCUAUUGUGCUUCAACAUAGAGCCAUCCAGAUGGGGGGGAACAAGACUGCCAACAAGGAUGGGCUUUAACCCAGCCUUACCACGCAGCCCAGUGCCUCUCCAACUUUGAUUUUAUUUCCUCUGGCCUACCUCUCUGAGCAUCUUCGCAAGUGAUAAAGGAAAGGUUCUGGAGUUUAGAGAGCUGCAAGUCUGAGUCAGACCUUAGUCCAGGAGCCGUAAGAGAUUUUACACAUGUGAUCCCCAGAGCACCUUCGAGAGGUCAAGUUAUCACCCCCAUUUUGCUGACGAAAUAAGUGAGAUCCGGAGCACAACUGACCCAACAUCCCACCGUGGAAGUGGCAGGGGCAGGAGUCAAGCCCGGGGAUGACACCUGGUCUCUGACAUGAGUCACUCUUCUUGGGACACAAAGACGGUCACACUGGGGGGAGCCUGAAAUGCAAGCGUGCUGUAGGGUGUGGUUGGGACACAAGUCCCUACAAAUCCUCCUGCUGAGCCUCUGGCUGGCCUCCCCAGUAACAUUAACGCUAAGUUAGCACCUACUGCGGGCUGGGAUCUGUGCAGGGGCUUCACACUGAUUGUCUCAUUGAAUCCCCACAAUAAAGGUAUGGGAUGCAUGCUAUUAUUAGCAUCGAACCAUCCUGCAGAUAAGAAAACUGAGUUUUAGAGGGGUUAAGAGACCCAUCCCACGUUUGUACGGGGGGUGGAUCCGGCAGCCUGGCCCCUUGUCUCUUAGCCGCCACACUGAUUAACUUGAGGAAGUUCCAGGCCAAUUUCCGGAUAACACCUCUUGCCAGAGAGUUUGCAUGCCACUGGGCUAAUAUUUGCUAGUGUCAUGCAGAUAGACCUGGUGGACGGGGGCUCUUACUACUGUCUCCUCCAAAGGGGGUAACUCAUGGACCCAAUGAGCUGGGAAAAAUUUCACAGAAAAAUCGAUCCUGCCCUGGCACUUAGGAAGCCUGUGCGCCAGACAGAGCUGACCACGCCAGGACCACAGGCAGAGGACAGGCUUGAUGAACGGACUCGAUUUCCGCCUGGCUGCAAUAGUAGGUGACUAGCUCUGCUCUUCCCAUGACAGUUCACAUACCCCUUAGUUUGAUGGGCUUUAACCUAACCAUUUUAACAACUCUGUCUCCCUCUUCUCUAUCGCUGGCUCUGUCUCCGUCUCAAGAUGCUAAAACGAGAAGGUGUGUGCAUGUUUGUGUGCAUGCGCGUGCACACACAGGAGGCAGGCUCUCCUUCCCAGUCCAAGAACCCUACUCCUGUUUAUUCUUCACAUGCUUUUAAGAGUAACACAAAUGUUUCAAAGCAGAAGCCUUAUGGGGGGAGAGGCUGGAUUGUGGGGAUAUUUUUUAAAAAUCUGGGCCAAACAGAUUUCCAGGAUCGGUACAAUUGCAAUUGCUCCAUGAGCUAAUAGCUUGUAAUUCACACCUCUUCCUAGGCUUUCAAUCUGUGAAAUCUCAUCUGUAACAACAGAUGCCAGUCUUGAACGCCAGGCUCCAGAGAACUUAUUUCUGACAAGCUUUUAUUUUAUUUAUUUAUUUUUUAAAGAUUUUAUUUAUGUAUUUGAGACAGAGAGAAUGAGAGAGAGAGAGAGAGCACAUGAGAGGGGGGAGGGUCAGAGGGAGAAGCAGGCUCCCUGCCGAGCAGAGAGCCCGAUGCGGGACUCGAUCCAGGGACUCCAGGAUCAUGACCUGAGCUGAAGGCAGUCGCUUAACCAACUGAGCCACCCAGGCGCCCUCUGACAAGCUUUUAAAUCUGACUCAAGCCACGGGGUUUGGACCAAAAUCUUCACCAUUUCAUGUUCAGCUGUGGUGGGCCAAAGACAACUUCCUGCUUUUAAGGAACAGGGCCCAUACACAGAUCCAGGAGCCUUGAAAGUGGAAGAAGUAACAAAUGACCCUUCUGUGAAGUUACCAAAGGAAAUAAGACUUGAUUUUCUUUAAAAUAAAUGGCCAUCAGACAUGGCAAGAGACCAUACCCAAUGAAGGCCGAAGCUCCUUUCACGACGGGUGUUUAAGAAGUGCUCUAGAAACAUCAGGGGACAUAAAUCUUGGACGACUGGCCCCAGCUCUCCCUGACAUCGUGGACAUCCUUAGGUUCUAACUUAUGAUGUCCUUACACCAUGAAAAACCAUUUGUGCUUUGAUAAUCUUCUGUUUCAGCCCGAACAACAGUCCACAGUCACACUCUCAUGAAAUUAAAAGCAAACCGAGAAUCCAACAAAAAUGCAAAUGCUCCCAUUAAAGGGUGCAAGAGCCUUAGUCACUUCUCAGGUGUGGCUGGGAGUGGCCAGAUCUCCUUUCUUUAGAGGAUGGCAGAAUUAAGCAGUUAAAGGCAAUUAAAGGUCUUUUUGGAGAUGAGAGAAGCAACCCCUCCCCCAAGUAAUUGAUGGCCAGACACUCUAUGCACUCAGAAUUUUCUCUCCAUGCAUUUGAAUUUUCCCCUCAUCCACAAUGAGGAAAUUCCAAGCUUGGGUUUCUGCGGAGGAAGUGGGCUCUGGGAAACUCCCAAAUUUCCAGAACGAGAAGGAAGCUACUGCAUUAAACUGCCCCUAAGAGCCCUUCCAUACUGUGAGGCUGGAGAACAGCACUGCAAGACGCUUCAACCUGAGAGGGAGGAAAAUACCACCUCCUCCAACAGCCCCACCACCAGCUCCCUGGACCGAAGGCAGGAAGAGGCUGAUCCUGCCGAGACAAGCAGCCUGGGAGGCUGACUGUCAUUUUGCGAGGCAAGACCAGACCUGCGGUACAUUUCCCCAUUCGCUUUCACCAGCUACCGCAUUAGCCAAGGUUCCCGGAACAUCCCAUCCUGCUGGAUUGGCUCAGCCACGGCCCGUUCCAGUCAGCACACGAGGGGGUCAGCUCUCUGGUGUGCCCUCCUCAAAGUAAAUGUGAGUCCCCUGGCUGAUGUUUUGCCCAGAAAUGGAAUGAAAACCUUCCAAAGGCAGCAGGAAGCAUUUCUCAAGCAGGGCAGCAGGAAUGAAGUGAGGGCUGUGUGGUGGAGAGGUCCCAGGUCUAAUCAUAACAAUGAUCACAAGGAUUACUGAUGAGCGCUCUCUUCAUGCCAGUGCUUCUGUCAAGGGCUUCGCGCAAAUGAUUGCAUUCAUCCACACACCACCCGACAAGUAGGUAUUGUUACUCCAUCGUAAAGAUGAGAAGACUGAGGCUUAGAGAUGGUAUGUAAAUUGCUUAAGGCCACAUAACUGGUAAGCAGCAGGGCUCCAACCGAGGCCAACCUCUAGCACCCACACUGCUUUCUGAGUGGCAGGACACCAGACUCAACUUCCCCCGGUCAUCCCUGACAGCCUGUGCUUGCCUCGGGCCCUGAACCCUGGGAACUGGAGUGGACAUCCUCAAAGCCAGCCUUUAGAAGCAGGUCAGAAACCUGGCUUUAAGGGACACUGUUUCCUGUCGGCCUGUUGGAAGUGAAGUCUGUUUCUGAAUGUCUUCCAGAAGGAAUGGGAAGCUCAUUUGGAGAAGAAACCAAAUUAGUUUUCCAGUUUUUAACAAUGCAAACAAUGCAGAAUAUAAACAUGGUUGUUGACUUUUGCUUCCCAAACAAUAUAAAGGACAGGAAGCUCAAACAGAUAAUAGGGUACAUUUCCUGAUGACUGAGAAACAAUCCUUUAGGAAGGCUGGGGCUCAUCUGGUGACACUUGUUUGAAAGGAGAGAGAGCCUCUCCAGAUAUGUCCCAGAGGGAGCCACAGGGAGAAGAGCUGAGAGGACCCAAGCCUUGCUUCCCCGGAGCCCUGCCUUAUUUUUCCUAUGCUUAAACGGAAAGUGUUUCCCCCUCAUCUUUCACAUCCACCUUGAGGGGCCAGACAUCCCACAUAUUCAGCUUCCCUUUGGUGCCCUUGCAGGAAAUCAUGGAUGAGACUGGAUGAUGCCAGCCAAGGAGGGGAGGUGGGAAUUGGGGGUGUGUGCACCAUGAAUGAAGAUGAAGGAGAGAAUGAGAAAUGUGGCAUGCUUGCUGACCCUCCUUUGCUUUUAAGCGCUUGUCUCCUAUUCCAAUAGAAAGAUUUUUCAAUAGAUGAUAGAGACACAAAUAGAUAAGUGAUAGAUAUAUAAAUGGAUAGAUAGAUACACAGGCAGGUAAGUAGACAGAUACACAGAUAGGUAGGUAUAAAGAUGAUAGAUACAGACAGACAGACAGACAGUGUUGUUGUUUUUUAAGUCAAAUUUAGAGAUUACAGCCUGAAUCCAUGAUGGUAAACCACAAUCCCACAAAACCAACCCAACAUUGAAGUGGAUACAGGCCUUCAGAAAAGAGAAUUCCAGCCAACUUCAUUCAACAAGGUUUCAUUCAGCCCCCAUGUGCUGGGCAUGCGGACCAGGGCACUGAGCAACGUAGGCAAGGUCACUGUCCCAGUGGAGGUUAUGGCCCAGAGGAGAAGACAGACAUUAAACAAGUUAACAACAUGACACAAUAAAUGUUGUAACAUAAGUACAGGGUGCUGAGUGAUUAGUCCAAAGGGAAGCCUUUCUUCUCCAAGACCUUUGCUAUCCCCAAGGGAUAUCUCUCCAAGGAAAUGACAUUUCAGCUGAGAACUGAAGGUGGAUUGGGAACCAGCCAGUGAGUCUCAUGCUCAGCAAGCCUCAUGGUCAGGAAAUUCACCCUCAGAAUAAACCAUAAAUCAUUUGGUUUAAUAGAAUCCAUUUGCUCUAGCUCUUUCAUCAUUAGAUACCAAAAACAAGCAGUCCCCUUCCCAUGUAAGAAAGGACCAUAUGCUUGAGGUCCACAUUAAACAUCCCUUGGGCUUCUCUUCCCUGGAUGCAGUCAUCAUAAAUCCUUUAAUGAUAUUGGGUGAAAAAAAAAAAAAAGAAUGGAAAACAAACAAACAAACAAAAUUCCAAAGUUUCCC